AGAACGGGUGGCGGGCAUCCGUAUGGUGAGAGGCAUCUAGCCCGGACACAAUGCAGACUUUUUUCCCCUGCAGUCCCUUGGAGCUCUGCACUGAGAUUUGUCACCUCUGUCGAUGAGGUGCUGCUGCUUUGCUGGGUCUUCAGGACUCUGAGCUUGGUAGGCCAAAUGGCUCCCAGUUCCAGACAUGCAUUGCAUGUGACUCGGUUACGGAGUGUCCAAAGUCAAGACCCGGUAGCAAAUAAGGAGUUGUUCCCCAAAGCAGAAUAAUUACUUGUAGUCUAGAGCUUGGCGUUGCUCCAGAAGUUAAGAGGCUGCAGCUGUGCUCUCUCCCAUUGGGAUCUGCCACAGAUGUUGCGGGCACCAUUAGAUCUCUAGGGUCAUAAGGACAUUAAUGUGGAGCUUCUGACAGUGAGGCACGAACCAGCAGGAGACUCUUACCAGGCUUCCAGGAAAUGAGAGCAGCAACCCCAGAGGUGACUCGGGGUGCCCUCAGAUGCCAAAGAGCCUCAUCAAGCAUCUGGGCCUCCCUUUCUAGCAGUACUGAUGCCUCCAGUUUCUGGACUGACAUGGCCUUACUCCUGGUGAGCUAUUUUGGUAGGAACGGGAGCAUAAGGCAUGCCACCUUGGCCCUUUAAUCAGUCAACAGCCUUCCUUCAGGAGUCCGAGAGAGGGUCCUGUGAUUGCCUUUGCUAUAAUGUGACCAACUGCUUCACGCCAUUGCUACCAUGCCCUCUGUCAUGUUGGAUGGUGACAUCAAACAGCAAGUCCAAAGAUACUGGUUCUUGUACAGCGUUUACCAGCAGACUCCAGUUUUCUCUCUGCCUCCUAAGGCAGCGGCCAAAAGAUCUGAAGAUACUGCCGGACAUUUUCCACAGACAACGUUACCCCUAGCUGAGACCACUGCAGCAACUC
ensembl:lncRNA